GGGGAUAGAUCAUUGCAAUUGUUGGUCUUCAACGAGGAAUGCCUAGUAAGCGCGAGUCAUCAGCUCGCGUUGACUACGUCCCUGCCCUUUGUACACACCGCCCGUCGCUCCUACCGAUUGAAUGGUCCGGUGAAGUGUUCGGAUCGCGGCGACGGGGGCGGUUCGCCGCCCCCGACGUCGCGAGAAGUCCAUUGAACCUUAUCAUUUAGAGGAAGGAGAAGUCGUAACAAGGUUUCCGUAGGUGAACCUGCGGAAGGAUCAUUG
rnacentral:rRNA from 1 species